GCAUUUUCGAGCCAAAAGUGUGAAACGCUACGCGGGGAAAUCAGUCCACUGGACUGAUUUCUGAUCCCACUUCGAUGCGUUGGAAAAUGCGACAAAACAAAUAGUUAGAGUGGUUCCGACGAUUCCGUUUUAACCGGAACCGCUCUUAGAACGGCA
rnacentral:misc_RNA from 1 species